rnacentral:rRNA from 1 species
GAUGAACGCUGGCGGCGUGCCUAAUACAUGCAAGUCGAGCGAACAGACGAGGAGCUUGCUCCUUUGAGGUUAGCGGCGGCCGGGUGAGUAACACGUGGAUAACCUACCUUUAAGAGUGGGAUAACUUGGGGAAAACGGAGCGAAUACAGGACAAUAUAUUGAACCGCAUGGUCAAAUAGUGAAAGAAGGUUUUGCUGUUACUUAUGGAUGGAUCGGCGCCGCAUUAGGUAGUUGUAAAGGUAACGGCUGACCAAGGCAACGAUGCGUAGCCGACCUGAGAGGGUGAUCAGCCACACUGGAACUGAGACACGGUCCAGACUCCUACGGGAGGCAGCAGUAGGGAAUCUUCCGCAAUGGGCGAAAGCCUGACGGAGCAACACCGCGUGAGUGAUGAAGGUCUUCGGAUCGUAAAGCUCUGUUAUUAGGGAAGAACAACUGUGUGAGUAACUAUGCACGUCUUGACGGUACCUAAUCAGAAAGCCACGGCUAACUACGUG